UGAAAGUCAUUGUGAAUGCCGGGGAUUUCCUGGCCGGUUGGCAACUUCACAACCUAACUCAAGAUCCAGUACAGCUGGGCUCCUUCCUUGUUAAGCUCAUUCUCCCAGUGGAUCCUGCCACCCUCCUUGGCCACAGCUCUCCUGAAGAGCAGUACAUCCUCAAUGGAUCACGCGGUCCUGAGUCCCUGUGUUAGCUUCUGCUUCUGGAGAGCCUACCAGAGUGGUACCGGGAGCAAGUUAUGCAAUCUGCAUCCAUCCAUACCUCGGCUGGAAAUUCAGUCACACCUCUUAAGAGUGCUGUCUGGAUCAACUGAGUUGAUACUCGUGAGGAAUAUUCUCAAAGAUAACUUCGUGGCUCACCUUUCCGGUAAAUGUCAUCUCUCAUAAGACAGAGGAAGUGGUAACAUCUGACUCUCAUUGUCACCAAUGUGGAAGAAAUGGCUGAUGAAAUAAAAAACAAAAGGAC